CGUACGAUUUCGGCUUUAACCAGCUUGAGCAUCCUAAUUACAAAAGUUCGCCGGAGUUGCUCAGAGAGACUCCGACUGCGACUGCGACGAAGGUAAUGUGAGAGUGUUGAAAGCGCGAGAUGGAGAUUGGGAGCUUCAAUUUCGUCUCUCUGGGCCUUCUCUCUUUCUUCUUCAUCAUCCUCCAGUGGUAAACUAUAUUGACGAAUUAGGUCUUCUUCUUCUUCACUCAAUAGAUAAAUCGCAGAUUAUUGUUUGCAUUUUUUUCUCGCUGAGCUUUUGUUUUGAUUCUAAGUACGGAUAAAAGUUGCAUCUUUUAAACUAUUUCUAUAACUUCUUGCCAUUUUUCUUGCAAUCUAAAACAAAUCCUUAUUUGUUGCUUGAAGGAAUACAGUAGCUCUGUUUUUAGUGUGUAAUCAGAGGAGACUGUGAUGUCGCUUAGACAUGAAACUCACCAAACUGCUUAUUAGACAGAGACUUGUCAUCUCUAUUCUUAGUAUGCUCAAUAUUCUUAUUGCCUGUUUCUUAUUUUAUCACAAAAACGCAGAGGAUUUUGUGGUGGUGGCCCUGCGAAUGCUACACCUGACAAACAUUCUAGCUCCUGCUACUUCUAGUGUCUGCAAAUACAAGAAGCUGUCUUAACAACUCCGAAGGAAGUACAUGAUUCUAAAGUUUCCAUCUUUAUUCCAUGACAAACAGAUCCCAAAGAAGAAUGCAUUUUUGCUAAUUAUCUUUGCAAGUUUUGGCUAGAUGAAAAAUUGUCCAUUCUUGAUCAAGGAGAGACAAAGUCAUUUUCCUGUUGAGGACAGUAGAGGAGUUUCUGUUGCAAGAAACAAGGAGUUGCUUCGGCGAAGACAA
rnacentral:lncRNA from 1 species